rnacentral:misc_RNA from 1 species
GGAAAAUCUCUGACUGGCAUUUUACCUGCAAUAGAUCUUAUUGGUGGACACGUCUUGGUUGGGAUAUUCUAUUUCAUUGGUUUUGGAUUAUUCUGUCUUGAAUCAGUUCUCAGCAUCUGGGUUAUUCAGCAAGUAUACAUGUACUUCCGAGGCAGCGGUAAAGCAGCUCAGAUGAAGCGUGAGGCUGCCAGGGGCGCUGUGAGGGCAGCCAUGUGAUGCCGUGGUCGCAUAGAACCACCACGAAUGAUGAGCUUCUUCCUAGAUUAUAGGUUGUAUAUGCACUUAGCCACGGGAUGUGGAUAAGUUUACAGGUUUGCUUUAGGUUGAUGGCUGUUCAGUCCUGUUGCUUCAUUUUUACCAGCCAACUUUAGUGUAUGUUUUUUCUACCCCUGAUGUAAU